CAGUAGCCGCGGGAAUACGUAGGGUGCAAGCGUUAAUCGGAGUUACUGGGCGUAAAGCGUGCGCAGGCGGUUAUAUAAGUCAGAUGUGAAAUCCCCGGGCUCAACCUGGGAACUGCAUUUGAGACUGUAUGGCUAGAGUGUGUCAGAGGGGGGUAGAAUUCCACGUGUAGCAGUGAAAUGCGUAGAUAUGUGGAGGAAUACCGAUGGCGAAGGCAGCCCCCUGGGAUAACACUGACGCUCAUGCACGAAAGCGUGGGGAGCAAACAGGAUUAGAGACCCCUGUAGUCCCUGUCUCUUAUAC
rnacentral:rRNA from 1 species